ACGAACGCUGGCGGCGUGCUUAACACAUGCAAGUCGAACGGAAAGGCCCUGCUUUUGCGGGGUGCUCGAGUGGCGAACGGGUGAGUAACACGUGAGUAACCUGCCCUUGACUUUGGGAUAACUUCAGGAAACUGGGGCUAAUACCGGAUAGGAGCUCCUGCUGCAUGGUGGGGGUUGGAAAGUUUCGGCGGUUGGGGAUGGACUCGCGGCUUAUCAGCUUGUUGGUGGGGUAGUGGCUUACCAAGGCUUUGACGGGUAGCCGGCGUGAGAGGGUGACCGGCCACAUUGGGACUGAGAUACGGCCCAGACUCCUACGGGAGGCAGCAGUGGGGAAUAUUGCACAAUGGGCGGAAGCCUGAUGCAGCAACGCCGCGUGCGGGAUGACGGCCUUCGGGUUGUAAACCGCUUUCGCCUGUGACGAAGCGUGAGUGACGGUAAUGGGUAAAGAAGCACCGGCUAACUACGUG
rnacentral:rRNA from 1 species